CCCUGGUGCCCGCCCUGGUGCUGCACUGCGUGAGCGAGGUGGAGCGCAGGGGCCUGACGGAGACAGGGCUGUACCGGGUGCCCGGCGCGGAGCCGCUGGUGCGGGAGUGGAAGCAGAAGCUGCUGCGGGCCAAGGGGGCGCUGCCCACGCUGAGCCACGUGGGCGACGUGCACGUGGUGUGUGGGGUGCUGAAGGACUUCCUGAGGGGCCUCAAGGAGCCGCUGGUCACCUUCCACCUGCACCCCACCUUCCUGCGGGCUGCCGACAUCCCGGACGAGGCCGCCUGCCAGGCAGCCCUGUGCCACGUGGUGAGCAAACUGCCCCCCGCCAACCGGGACACACUGGCCUUCC